GCCGGAGUGGCGGAAUGGCAGACGCGCCGGACUCAAAAUCCGGUGAGCGCAAGCUCGUGUGGGUUCGACUCCCACCUCCGGCACCA
rnacentral:tRNA from 1 species